CGGGAUGUAGCACAGUUGGCAGCGCGCCACGUUCGGGACGUGGAGGUCGGACGUUCGAGUCGUCUCAUCCCGAC
rnacentral:tRNA from 1 species